UCGGCCAUGCCCCUGCUGCUCCUCCUGGUGCUUGAGGGGAUUUUUGCCCUGGGAGGAACGGGGGCCCAGACAGUGACCCAGCCUGACCUUCACGUCACUGUCACUCAAGGAGCCUUUCUGGAGCUGAGGUGCAACUACUCAGUUUCUUUUACACCAUUCCUCUGGUGGUACGUGCAGUAUCCCAACCAAGGACUUCAGCUUCUCCUGAAGUACGUAUCGGGGAACACCCUGGUUAAAGGCAUCCAAGGUUUCGAGGCUGAAUUUAGGAAGAAUGAAUCCUCCUUCCACCUUCGAAAAACCUUCGCCCAUUUGAGCGACUCUGCCCAGUACUUCUGUGCUGUGAGUGACACAGUGUCUGGGGCUGCAGGGGGAGCUGAACACAAACCUCCUGAGACACUGGGACUUCCUGCGACUCAAGAACUCAACAUUGAAGGACCAUUUUUUACUGCUAUGGGUGAACAAGCAUCACCCAAGGGAAAUGUCUCCAUUAUCUUCUAUCACCACCAUGGCAGCACUGGACCAGCCAACAUCAACCUGACUCAAUUGGUCUGA